UGUUAUAUUAAAUAUUAUUAUUUUGUUUAUUUUAAUAUAAAUAAUUAAUAUUUUAAUAACAGAUUAAUAGUGUUUAACUAUUUGAGAGAGAGCGAUAACAGGUCUGUGAUGCCCUUAGAUGUCCGGGGCUGCACGCGCGCUACAAUGUAGUGAUCAUUAUGUUCCUGUUUAGAGAUAAAUGGGUAAACAUUGAAAACAUUACGUAACUGGGAGUGAAAAUUGCAAUUAUUUUUCAUGAACGAGGAAUUCCAAGUAAACGUAAGUCAUUAGCUUACAUUGA
rnacentral:misc_RNA from 1 species